rnacentral:lncRNA from 1 species
CCCGCACCGCCCAGACCCCGCCUCCUGACGCUCUCGCCCUCACCUCCGCCUGGCCCAGCCCCCGCCCGCCUCGCCUCGCAGUCCCCCACCCAGAUGGGCCGCCCAAACCCCUGGCCGCCGCCGGGCCCUCCAGACCCCCAGGAACCGCACGGAGCCCAGCUGGACGCCCGGGGCAUGAAUAUUUCAGUGCUGGAGAAGCUGCCUUCUGCCGAUGUCAUGGCACCGGCUGCUGUGGCAACUCGACGAAUCCCCCAAAGGCCCAGGGAUGAAGCCCGUGGAAGCGGCCCCAGAUAUGUCCUGUGGCUCUCUCCACAUUGGCACACAGAAGAUGUGCCUCCCUCUUUGUGCCUGCUGGCGCCUAUUCCAGAAAAAGACGUGGUGUCAGCACUGAGCCCUUCCCAACACAGGGUCAUGUGUGACUCCAUGGAGCCAGCCAGAACUGCAGACCACAGCCCGGGAGCUGGCAGUCCCCAUGGGAAUGUGCAUAGCCUGAAGAGGGGGACAGUGAGCAAGACCUGCUCCCUCCAUGCUCCGAGCCCCCACCCUGGCCCCACUGUCAUCUACCAAAACACCUAGUGUCCCUUAAAAAAGAGGCGCAGCCGUGGUCAUCCAGUCCCCCAUCUCUGGAUCCUACUGCAGUCGGAUCACCCCAGAAAAGAACUCACUCCCAUUUCAAUCACAGGCUUCAGAGUGGGGCUCCAUCUGUUAUGGUCCAUAUUUUGCUUCCUGCUAGCUAUAAGCAAUCUUCAGGUCACCUCUUUGCGUUACACAGUGAGAAAGUUAUUCCCUUUCCAAUUCUGUUGUAGUCUGUAUAGACACACGAAGAACGUCUCACCUGUGCCAGUCUUUCUUUUAUACCUGAUGAUCCCUCUUUCUUCUGCAGGAAGGGUCAGAGCUUCUGCUCAGCCUCUGGCAGGCAACUUAGACUGCAUUUAAUAACAUUGUUCUAGUAUCACUGUAUUUAUUUUGAUAGCUGUUUUUCAGUUGGCACUGUUUUUAAAUUUAUGGUGGUGAUAAAAAGGUUUUUUUGGGUGAUAGAGAGUUUUUAAAUUUAAGAGUUUAAAAGUAAGGAAUUAAAAUUUCAGUUGGGUUACAAACAGUAUCAUUGGCACAAAGACAGGCCCAGAUCAGUAAAUGUGUGCUUCGAAUGGUUGAAAUUUGGAGCUCUGGGGUUGAAAAGUUAGGUGGAAGCAAUUUUGUAUCAAUGUCCCCCCAAACUGUCCCUAUCCCUGCCAAUCAAGCCAAGGUACCUUUUCAGGCUUAGCCCAAUCUCUCCUCUCUCCUGAGCUGCCACUCAGCUGUAGAAUAUGCAGAUACAUUGAGGCAGUGUUUUUUAUUAGGUAACAAAAAGGGAAGAGACCCGAUGUCCUUCCACAGGGGCUGGUUAGAUGGCCUGCACUCUGAUUUAUCAGUCCUGGGCACCACACUGCUCUUUGGAUCUCCCCAUCCCUAGCUUUGUCUUCUGCAGUCCUCUCCCCUGCCAGUGCCCAGUGCCCAGUGCCCACCCCUCCUCUCUGCAGAACCCCAUUUUUCACCACCUUCUGGAAACCCUACCUGCCUAUGUCCCAGACCCCAGGGCCUUGGACUUCUCUGAGCUUCAGAACCUUCCCUAUCUGGAUGAUUCCCUAUCUGGACAUGCAGCACAGAAUCUUGAGCAAUCUUUUCAUAGUAUGUCGGUCUUGCUUCCAAUCAAAUUGUAAGGUGCCAGAGGACAGGGAUGGGGUUGCAUCUGCAGGUGCCCUGUAUGGGGUGUGGAAGACCAGGGCUCAGACUGAGCCUACCAUGCUCUGCCUGAAGGUGCCGAGUUCGGUGUCCACCACCCACCUGAGCCUCAGUGAUGUCUUCCUAAGGUGAGGAGGGAGCUUGAAGUCCCCGGGGCUCUUCUACUAUGAGACUCUAAAACCAUUCCAUUCUUUUCUGUAUCUUCCCAUGCAGUAAUAAAAUACAAUUUUUAGGGCCGGGGAUUUAGCUCAGUGCUUCCAGCACCUUCCUCGAAACCACAAGGUCCCAAGUUCAAUCCCCAGUACCAAAAAAAAAAAUAUAUAUAUAUAUAUACACACACACACAUAUACACAAUUUUUACAACUUUGGAGAGAUAUCCGUAA